UACGUAGGGGGCGAGCGUUGUCCGGAGUUACUGGGCGUAAAGCGUGCGCAGGCGGCUUCUCAAGUCAGGGGUGAAAGCCCAGAGCUCAACUCUGGAAUUGCCUUUGAGACUGAGUGGCUUGAGUACGAGAGAGGUGAGUGGAAUUCCCAGUGUAGAGGUGAAAUUCGUAGAUAUUGGGAAGAACACCGGUGGCGAAGGCGGCUCACUGGCUCGUAACUGACGCUCAUGCACGACAGCGUGGGGAUCAAACAGG
rnacentral:rRNA from 1 species